GAACAUUUCACCAAUUUUAAAUCGGAGACAAAGGUGAAGCGUUUUAUCUGUGAACCCAAAACUCCGGCGCCGGUCACAGAAUCAGGAAGAGUCUUCCCUUGGUGUUUAACCACAUGGGGAUGCCUACAUGAUUAUUCACCCAUGUUUCAGAGGUGUCUGACCACGGAGGGAUGCCUGUCUUGGUCCUUCACCCUUAGCGGCCUGGUUGCAGUAUGCCUGAAAUUUGGGAUGUAGAAGAUCCUGCCAAUGCUGGGAAAACUCCCUUAUGUAACCUCUUGGUGAAGGAUUCCAAACCUCACUUCACCACUGUAUUCCAGAACAGUGUUUACAAAGUCCUAGAAGUUGUAAAAGAAUGACUGCUACAUGACCUGCUGCCUACGGAGAACUACAUCUCUAAUGGUUUUAAUGUUUUGCUAAGUCAUGUGUUGUUCAUAUCCCAAAAACUUUUAUAGGUAACUGUUUUCAAAUAGAAAAUGUUUUAUUUGGUCAAUUUGAAUGUCAUUCUAAUUAUAAAAAUGAC
rnacentral:lncRNA from 10 species